UACGUAGGGUGCAAGCGUUGUCCGGAAUUAUUGGGCGUAAGAGCUCGUAGGCGGUUUGUCGCGUCUGCUGUGAAAACCCGAGGCUCAACCUCGGGCCUGCGAGUGGGUACGGGCAGACUAGAGUGCGGUAGGGGAGAUUGGAAUUCCUGGUGUAGCGGUGAAAUGCGCAGAUAUCAGGAGGAACACCGGUGGCGAAGGCGGGUCUCUGGGCCGAUACUGACGCUGAGGAGCGAAAGCAUGGGUAGCGAACGG
rnacentral:rRNA from 1 species